rnacentral:lncRNA from 1 species
AAGAUGGCUUUCUAUUGAAUAGCAAAUGGGAAAAAGUACACGAGCAGGGGAGUGAUGCCCGUAGGGCAGACAGACUCCAAGUAUGGGAAUAGGGGAGUGAUGCCCGUAGGGCAGACGACUCCGAGUAUGCUAAAUUACAGGAAAUACUCAUAGGGAAAGCGAUAAAUGCAAGAAUAGAAAGAUGCAGGAAAAUAAAGGUGGUCUUUUGUGCGCAGGGGCGAAGACCCUUUUUCAGGGUAUCGUAUGCCUAUUUAUAGAACCGCCUUUGCGUCAGUUAUUGCUCUUGCACGAUCAACCACUAUCUCCUGAUUCGUAGGACCACCUUCGGCCGAUCGGAACCGCUCGUAAUUGCUUGCGGUUGUUAUAACUCCUCUGUCCAGUGCAGCUCGUAUGCGUCCGGUGUACUCUAGGUCUACCGUUUUAGCCGUCUUACGGAUAUGGACCCGGCGCGCCAGCUGUUCGCGCCUAACUGGCUCAACAAUUGCCCUCUCGCCAGUUUUCGAAGCGAUGCUUCGGUAGCUGGCGUUACCUUUUUCAUCUCAAACAAUUUUCUAUUGCCAAAAGCGAGCUUAAUUCGAGGCGUAUUUCUCGGUCCAAUAAAAUUCAAAUUCUCUGACGCAUUCUGCACUACGAUCUUCUGUACGGUUUAAUCUAAGCCGUUCAUUAUCUUCUUUACGGCCCUGAUCGCAUUCUCUACUUUUGUCUCAUGUGCGGCAUUAAUGAAAUCAUCUUAAUUGCCGCUGUCUAUUCAUCAUUAUAGCCGACCUUAGGACUCGUAAUCGAAGCGACAGUUCGAUACGACGGUCUUUUCUUCUUCCUCAAGCUUCCCAUUCUUUUUGUCUCUUCCAAUUCUUAUUUCUUUUCUUCAUAUCCUUCACUAAAACCUCUUCUUCGUCUCCUUCAUCAUUCUUCGCUUUUCGUAACCGACUCUCUCGGCUCUUCUCUUCUUUUGAACAAUGUCUUUGGUUCCUCCUCUUCCCUCUCAUCCAUCUCUUGACUAUACUAUACUCAAACUUU